rnacentral:rRNA from 1 species
AACGAACGCUGGCGGCAGGCUUAACACAUGCAAGUCGAACGCUCGUAGCAAUACGGGAGUGGCAGACGGGUGAGUAACGCGUGGGAACAUACCCUCCGGUUCGGAAUAGCUCAGGGAAACUUGGAUUAAUACCGGAUACGGCUGAGAGGCGAAAGAUUUAUCGCCGGAGGAUUGGCCCGCGUUCGAUUAGCUUGUUGGUGAGGUAACGGCUCACCAAGGCGAUGAUCGAUAGCUGGUCUGAGAGGAUGAUCAGCCACAUUGGGACUGAGACACGGCCCAAACUCCUACGGGAGGCAGCAGUGGGGAAUAUUGGACAAUGGGCGCAAGCCUGAUCCAGCCAUGCCGCGUGAGUGAUGACGGCCUUAGGGUUGUAAAGCUCUUUCGCUCGGGAC